UACGAAGGGGGCUAGCGUUGCUCGGAAUUACUGGGCGUAAAGGGCGCGUAGGCGGGGCGGUUAGUUAGAGGUGAAAGCCCAGGGCUCAACCCUGGAAUUGCCUUUAAUACUGGCGGCCUUGAGUAUGGCAGAGGUGUGUGGAACUCCGAGUGUAGAGGUGAAAUUCGUAGAUAUUCGGAAGAACACCAGUGGCGAAGGCGACACACUGGGCCAUUACUGACGCUGAGGCGCGAAAGCGUGGGGAGCAAACGGG
rnacentral:rRNA from 1 species